AGUCAGGAUGGCCGAGUGGUCUAAGGCGCCAGACUCAAGUUCUGGUCUUCGAGAGAGGGCGUGGGUUCAAAUCCCACUUCUGACAU
rnacentral:tRNA from 2 species